AGAGUUUGAUCCUGGCUCAGGAUGAACGCUGGCGGCGUGCCUAAUACAUGCAAGUCGAACGAGGUGCUUUUGUAGCAAUACGAGAGUAUCCUAGUGGCGAACGGGUGAGUAACGCGUUGGUGACCUACCCCAAAGUGUGGGAUAACAGUCCGAAAGGAUUGCUAAUACCGCAUGUGGUCAUUGGAUUUAGAAACUGAUGACUAAAGGAGCAAUUCGCUUUGGGAGGGACCUGCGUCCCAUCAGCUAGUUGGUGAGGUAAUGGCUCACCAAGGCGACGACGGGUAGGGGACCUGAGAGGGUGGCCCCCCACAAUGGAACUGAAACACGGUCCAUACACCUACGGGUGGCAGCAGUAGGGAAUAUUGCACAAUGGGCGAAAGCCUGAUGCAGCAACGCCGCGUGUGUGAUGAAGGCCUUCGGGUCGUAAAGCACUUUUCUGGGAGAUGAGAAAGGACAGUAUCCCAGGAAUAAGUCUCGGCUAACUACGUGCCAGCAGCCGCGGUAAUAC
rnacentral:rRNA from 1 species